UACGUAGGGGGCGAGCGUUGUCCGGAAUCAUUGGGCGUAAAGCGCGUGUAGGCGGCUCGAUAAGUCUGCUGUGAAAGUCCAGGGCUCAACCCUGGAAUGCCGGUGGAAACUGUCGAGCUUGAGUCCGGAAGAGGCGAGUGGAAUUCCUGGUGUAGCGGUGAAAUGCGCAGAUAUCAGGAAGAACACCCGUGGCGAAGGCGGCUCUCUGGGACGGUACUGACGCUGAGACGCGAAAGCGUGGGGAGCGAACAGG
rnacentral:rRNA from 1 species